GACGAACCGAGCGAACGUUAUUCGGAGUCACUGGGCUUAAAGGGCGCGUAGGCGGGCGGUCAAGUCAGGGGUGAAAGCCCCCAGCUCAACUGGGGAAGUGCCUUUGAUACUGGUCGUCUCGAGGGGGAUAGGGGCGUGCGGAACUUCCGGUGGAGCGGUGAAAUGCGUAGAUAUCGGAAGGAACACCGGUGGCGAAAGCGGCGCGCUGGAUCCCUUCUGACGCUGAGGCGCGAAAGCCAGGGGAGCGAACGGG
rnacentral:rRNA from 1 species